rnacentral:pre_miRNA from 1 species
GUAGCCAUGCUGGAGAAGCAGGGCACAUGCUUAAUAUUAAUAUUAAUGUUUUCGCUCAUUUUAUGUUGGUCCCUUGGUGGCUUGAGGAAUGUUAUAUCUGUAUAUAGGCUUGUGCCAUGCUUCUCCAACCUGGUAAC